CGUUAACAGACCCACAGACCGACAGUGGGUCCGCUACCAGGAGCAUCAGGCUGUAAUAUACAGCAGCAGGCCGAGCUGUGUGCAGGGUGUCGGGGCCGAGCUGUGUGCACGGUGUCGGGGCCGAGCUGUGUGCAGGGUGUCGGGGCCGAGGUGUGUGCAGGGUGUCGGGGCCGAGCUGUGUGCAGGGUGUCGGGGCCGAGCUGUGUGCACGGUGUCGGGGCCGAGCUGUGUGCAGGGUGUCGGGGCCGAGCUGUGUGCACGGUGUCGGGGCCGAGCUGUGUGCAGGGUGUCGGGGCCGAGGUGUCGGGGCCGAGCUGUGUGCAGGGUGUCGGGGCCGAGCUGUGUGCACGGUGUCGGGGCCGAGCUGUGUGCAGGGUGUCGGGGCCGAGCUGUGUGCACGGUGUCGGGGCCGAGCUGUGUGCAGGGUGUCGGGGCCGAGCUGUGUGCAGGGUGUCGGGGCCGAGCUGUGUGCAGGGUGUCGGGGCCGAGGUGUCGGGGCCGAGCUGUGUCUCUCUGCCUGCUUUAAGUGAACUU